rnacentral:rRNA from 1 species
GACGAACGCUGGCGGCGUGCUUAACACAUGCAAGUCGAGCGGUAAGGCUCCUUCGGGGGUACACGAGCGGCGAACGGGUGAGUAACACGUGAGUAAUCUGCCCUUCACUUCGGGAUAACCACCGGAAACGGUGGCUAAUACCGGAUACGACCAGCCCCGGCAUCGGGUGCUGGUGGAAAGUCUUGUCGGUGGAGGAUGUGCUCGCGGCCUAUCAGCUUGUUGGUUAGGUAACGGCUCACCAAGGCUUCGACGGGUAGCCGGCCUGAGAGGGUGACCGGCCACACUGGGACUGAGACACGGCCCAGACUCCUACGGGAGGCAGCAGUGGGGAAUAUUGGACAAUGGGCGAAAGCCUGAUCCAGCAACGCCGCGUGAGGGAUGACGGCCUUCGGGUUGUAAACCUCUUUCAGUAUCGGCGAAGCGCCCUGUCGGGUGGUGACGGUAGAUACAGAAGAAGGACCGGCCAACUACGUGCCAGCAGCCGCAGUAAAAC